rnacentral:miRNA from 1 species
GGGGGCGUGGAAUUAUCGGGU